GGGGAUUUAGCUCAGUGGUAGAGCGCUUGCCUCGCAAGCACAAGGCCCUGGGUUCGGUCCCCAGCUCCA
rfam:Rattus norvegicus chromosome 10, whole genome shotgun sequence.